rnacentral:misc_RNA from 1 species
CUCUGAGUUGUCCACGGAUUAAUUGGCAAGAUCUCUUCAUGAGACGGUGUCGUUAUCACAGAAUUUAUAUUUAACUCAUUGAUUAUAUACUCCGGUUUAUACCACCAUGCUUCAGCAUUAGCAAGCUCAGCAUCAACAUGGGAGGGUAGAACUCUGUUGUCCUUGUAAUGAUAGUAGUUGUCUGAUUCAUUGGUGGUAACGAUAAUUCUCUUUAACCAUUUAACCAUACGCCCACCGAUGAAACCUGGAAUAAUCAUCCUCACAGGGAAUCCAUGGUCAGGAGCCAAAAGAUCACCGUUUUGCAUGUAGGCCAGGAUAAUAUCACGCGAUGGAUCCAUAGCAUACUCUUUCUUGAUGCUGGUCCCGUACUUGGUCCCACCUCCACCUGGCAGAUCCUC